AUUGAACGCUGGCGGCAGGCCUAACACAUGCAAGUCGAGCGGAUGAUGGGAGCUUGCUCCUGGAUUCAGCGGCGGACGGGUGAGUAAUGCCUAGGAAUCUGCCUGGUAGUGGGGGACGACGUUUCGAAAGGAACGCUAAUACCGCAUACGUCCUACGGGAGAAAGCAGGGGACCUUCGGGCCUUGCGCUAUCAGAUGAGCCUAGGUCGGAUUAGCUAGUAGGUGAGGUAAAGGCUCACCUAGGCGACGAUCCGUAACUGGUCUGAGAGGAUGAUCAGUCACACUGGAACUGAGACACGGUCCAGACUCCUACGGGAGGCAGCAGUGGGGAAUAUUGGACAAUGGGCGAAAGCCUGAUCCAGCCAUGCCGCGUGUGUGAGGAAGGUCUUCGGAUUGUAAAGCACUUUAAGUUGGGAGGAAGGGCAGUAAGUUAAUACCUUGCUGUUUUGACGUUACCGACAGAAUAAGCACCGGCUAACUUCGUGCCAGCCGCCGCGGUAACAC
rnacentral:rRNA from 1 species